rnacentral:tRNA from 3 species
GGAGGGGUACUCAAGCGGUCAACGAGGGCAGACUGUAAAUCUGUUGGCUCAGCCUUCGUAGGUUCGAAUCCUACCCCCUCCACCA